UUCUUCAUUAACGUGAAUUGAACGCAGGUUCUUCUGCAAAACUCCCCAGAUCAUCCUCACCUUACUCCUCCCAUCUCCAGUCCCUAUCUCCCAACCCUAACCCUUUCCUCCUCUUCUUUCUCCCAGUCACCGCAACUCCCCAGAUCUGCAUAGUACUCCAGACGAAUUAAAUGGAGGUGCCCAGAACCAUCUUCUUCGCUCCACCCUCUUCUGCAAAACCUUCCUCUUUUUCUCUUUGAACGAAGCCCAUAUCAAAACCCUCUUCUUCUUCAGGAGUGGAACUCAAUUUGGGUGUGGCUGGGGGGUUUGGGAAUGAAACUCUCCCUAUUUUCACUCUUCACUCACUACCAGAUCCAACUUUCCCAUUUCACCUAUUCAAAAUGAAAAUACCUGCAAAUUAACCAGGCUUACAGAAAAAGGAAUAUGCUUUUAUCCAUUUUCUUUGAAUUCUGCACAAAAGGAAUAUGCUUUUAUCCCGUGCUGAUUAGCCAGCCAAUGAACAACUUCAAAAUCACCAUAGCCACCUUCAGGGAGUUUCACAAACAAGUAAAUUGCACCUUCCCCUCCUUUUACAGAACCAUCUCAUCUUCUACCAUCAUCAUUUAUUUUCUGAAAAUCCAUCCUCUCAUCUUCCUCCCUCUCCCACCAAACCCACCCACUCCCCACCGCCACCCAACCUCAACUCCACCGCCACCCUUAACCUCACCCCAAUCGGAACCCAAACCAUCCACUCCCCACUGUCACAAACAUGAACCCUAAAUCCAGCGACCUGCAACCUCAACCCCAACACCCACCCACCUGCAAAGAAUAAACAAAGGGAAGAAGGAGAAAGAACAGAGCAGACAGUGAAGGAGAAAGAACCCCACCGCAACCCACCCCCAAAAUACCAAAAACCAACCCCCACCGAUCCAAAACCCAAAACAACCCAUAGAUGAAGAAGAAGAAGAAGCAUACUUCAACCUUCAAAUCCAAUCCCCUGAACAAACCCUCAUACCAGUCCAAGAAUUUGGCUAUGCAUCUCUUUGCAACCAGAUCUGAGAUGGGUGAAGAGCAGCGAGCCUGCAGUGGUGGCGGCGGUGUGCGAUGGGCGUCAGCGGCACGGUGGUCCAUCACAUGUGCUCUAUGGGUCGAUCUUCAUCCUUUAUGUUUCAGGGUUUGAUCUGGAACAAGAAAAACUGAAAUCAGGGUUUAUGGGUCAAUCUUCAUCCCCUCGGUGACGACGGGAGAUCUGGAGAUGGAGGGGAUGGCUUUUGCAGAGAUGGUGGGGAUGAGUUUUGUGUAACACCCCGUUUUUAAUUAAAAUAAUGUUGGUAUUUUAUUUUAAUUAAGAUUAUAUUGUAUGAGGGUUUAAUAGGUGAUAUAUUAAUACUUUAAUGAAAUAAAAUAAUUUUUUUGUGAUGCUGAGUGUGUUUUAUGAAAUGGAAGAGAGCUAGGGGGUGAAAGUUAGGAUUAAAAAUAGAGACAAGGACUAGGAGAGAUUUUAGGAUUUUUAGUUUAGCCCUUGAGGAAUUAGGUUUAGAUGGUUUAAUAAGGAUGGGGAAGUAGCUAAAGAAAAAAAAAAAUAAGAAAGAAUAGGACGCGUGAAAGAAGGAGAAAAAAAAAAAGAAGAAGGUUGUGCGUGAAGUAGCAGGAAGAGAGGGAGAGCGGAUCGGCUUCGGAGAAUUCGAUCGGGAACGGGGAGCUGCACUCAAUCCAAAGGUAAUUAGGAGGAGUAGUCUAUAGCCUUUAUUUCGAGUUGGAGUCCUUGCUCUGAUACGUAGCACUCGGGGGGGAAAUGGACGCUUGUUUUCCUUCUGUUAUAAUUUGAAUUAAGUUGUUAUUUGAGAAGUUGUUUCUGUUUUAAGUUGUGGGCAAGAUACUAUGUUUUCUUUAAGUUUUAAAGACACUGGAUUCGCUGCAUAACUAUUUGUCAAAGUGAACUAGUUCAAAGACUAAUUAACUGUCACAAGAGCAUUUAAGUUUAUUUAUGAGUUCAUCUCAAAGUUUAUGUGCUAUGUAUCUGUUACAGGAGCAUUAUGAUAAUGUUUUAAGUGAUUAUGUAAUGCCCCAUGAGUGUUAGAAUU